rnacentral:rRNA from 1 species
GAUGAACGCUAGCGACAGGCCUAACACAUGCAAGUCGAGGGGCAGCAUGAAAUUAGCUUGCUAAUUGUGAUGGCGACCGGCGCACGGGUGAGUAACACGUAUGCAACCUGCCUGUAAGCGGGGACUAACCCGGAGAAAUCCGGAAUAAUACCGCAUAGUCUCACAAUUUCGCAUGUUAUUGUGAUUAAAGAUUAAUUGCUUACAGAUGGGCAUGCGUCUGAUUAGCUAGUUGGCGGGGCAACGGCCCACCAAGGCAACGAUCAGUAGGGGUUCUGAGAAGAAGGUCCCCCACAUUGGAACUGAGACACGGUCCAAGCUCCUACGGGAGGCAGCAGUGAGGAAUAGUGGUCAAUGGACGAGAGUCUGAACCAGCCAUGUCGCGUGAAGGAUGGCUGUCCUAUGGAUUGUGAACUUCUUUUAUAUGGGAAUAAAGUGAGAAACGAGUUUCUUUUUGUAUGUACCAUAUGAAUAAGCAUCGGCUAACUCCGUGCCAGCCGCCGCGGUAACAC